UCGGGUCGUGUUGUGACAGCUAGCACUCCACUCUUGUUUGCUGCGUGCGUUCGUCGCUUGGCCCGCUUGCUGUUCUCGCAAAAGCGCGGGGCAGAGGAGAGAAAGAAGCCUCUCGUUCUCCGAGAGAGACGCAGAGGCCGCAGUCAGGGCCUGGAUAUACUCGGAGGCUCGGCUUCUCCUCUGGGUGCUCCUUGUUGCUUCCAGGGAAAGUUUAGUCUGGAUCUGAGGCCUCGUGGCGCUCUUCCUGGUUUUUCAAUUUUGGUGGAGAAAUAGAGUUUGUGGUGAAGUAAAUGGCACCGCUGGAAUCCAAACCCUAAUGAAGCAGAGUCUCUUCUUAACCACUGUCUAUACUAAAGGUAAUUUAAAACAGGGUGCAGACAACAGGAAAGCAACAACUCUGGUUUGGUCACCGUGGUGGUCUUGCCCGGCACAUGGUGGGAGUCCAGCCAGAGCUGAUGGGAGCACCACAGGCAUCUCCCCUGAUGCAGGGUAAAUUGCAGAAGCCGUGGUACCAGCCCGCAUCCAUGACCCCACAGAUAUUCCCCUUCUCCAAGUGGACUGACCCAGGCCUUUUACAAACACAGAAGGAUCUUGUGCAAGAUGAAUUCUAGUACUAGCUACUAAAAGAUCUCUUCACACAAAAGGCAAUAUUCCUGAAUUUGUAUUGGUCCAGGCAUUCGAGAAUCAAGAUGUUUUCCUGUUUCCAUGGAAGCAGAGUUCAUUUGGCUGGGAUGUUCUGAGCUUUUGCUUCCAGACCUUUGAUGCCGGGGCAUGUUGUCUUCAGCAGAGGCUCUGGCCAAGUCAGAUGCCCACGUGUCUCUGCUUGGUGAAGCCGAAUGCCUCGCCAUGACUCUGGAGAAGCUCUUUAAGUGUCUGAUGCAGUGGGAAGAGCUGAGCCACAGCUUGAUACCAGUGUUGGGCCCCAGAGUCCCCAUAUGCUGCCUCUCAAGGGUGGUAUUCAAAGUGGGUUGUUGUUCUUGUUGUUGUUUUGGUCACAUCCCAGGCGUAACUGCAGUACAACAUCACAGCCAGGAUGCUGACAUUGAUAAUCCUCCUAUCUCAUUCACAUUUCCCCGUUUUACUUGUAAUGUGUGUGUGUGUGUGUGUGUGUGUGUGUUUGUAUUUAGUUCUUUGACGUUUUAUCACAUGUGCAGAUUAAUGUAUCUGCUACAGUCAAGAUAUAGAACACCUGAAUCCUUUGUGUUGCUCUUUGGUUCCCACCUCCUCCCCAUCCCUCCACCCCAACACCUGGCAACCACUGAGCUAGUCUCCAUACUGCAAAUUUUGUGAUAUCAUUUGUUACAUAGAUGGAAUUGCCUAUUGCAUAGCUUUGGCGGAAUGGCUUUUCAUUUUCCCCCUCAAAACAUAUUUCUUUACAAUUACUACAAGCUGUUGCAUGUAUCAGUAGUUUUCUUUCUUUCUUUCUUUCUUGCUUGCUUCCUUCCUUCCUUCCUUCCUUUUUUUUUUUGGCUGAACCAGUAGUGGCAGGCAGAAGUUCUGGGACCAGGGAUCGAACCCAAGCCAUAGCAGUAACCAAAGCCACAGCAGUGACAAUGCUGUACCCUCAACUCUCUGAGCCAGCAGGACUCUCCUCAAAGUGUGUUUUUUUUUUUUUUUCCUUUCUUUUUAGGGCCACACCCACAGCAUAUGGAAGUUCCUGGGCUAGGGGUCAAAUUGGAGCUGCAGCUGCUGGGUUACACCACAGCCACGGCAAUGUGGGAUCCAAGCUGUGUCUGCAACCUGCACCAUGACUCACAACAACACCCAGAUCCUUAACGCACUAAAUAAGUGCAGGGAUCGAACCCUUAUCCUCAUGGAUACUAGUUGGGUUCAUAAUCACUGAGCCACAAUGGGAAGCCCCCAAAGUGGGGUUUUGGAAGAUAGUAGGAUUAUUCUAGGCUCAGAUUAAAGUCAGGUGGGUAAGCAUCAUUGCACAGGGAGGAAAAAGUGUGAGCCAGAUGGUGAAGGCAGGAAAGUUAGAGCCCUCUUUGGGAAGGAGAUGGCGAUAUUGUAGGAACCAGCUUGGGGUUUGUUUGGGAGGGACAGCAGCAGGCUCUCUCCCUGCCUCGUGUCACUUCCCUAUGUCCUUCCUGUGAUUUGGGGGCCUCUGUGGUGCAUGGCCACCUAUAUGCAGGCAGCACCAGCAUCUUGUCCCUCUUGCUCUGUCUCAGGGCUCUCUCCUGGGUCCAGGAGAGCACUCAGCCUGCUUGUAGGAGCAUCUCAGCCCGCAGGCAGCCCCCAGCCCAGGGGAGGAGGGUUGGUGGACCACACCAUGACAUGUGGUCUACACACGUCCUUUGAGGGGUGAGCCCGGUGCCCACAGUGGUAACCAGUGCGAUAACGCUGUUUAACCCUUUCGAUACCCUCACACUUGCCUGGGCUCAUCUUGCAAAGAAGUCACCUGCAUGUGAUUUAUGAGCAUGGAGGAAACUACUGAAGGGUACGCGGUUGUUGGGAUGAUUGCUUGGUGCAGCAUAGGGAAGGUAAGCAGGAGAGGGAAUGGGCAUAAAAUAUACUCAAACCAAACAAAACUACCCAUUAGACACAGCAUGCUGAGUUUUUUGUUUGUUUGUUUUUGUUUUUGCCUUUUUCUUUUUGCCUUUUAGGGCUGCACUUGGAGCAUAUGGAUGUUCCCAGACUAGGAGUUGAACCAGAGCUGUAGCUGUUGGCCUACGCUGCAGCCACAGCAAUGCCAGAUCCGAGCUGAGUCUGUGACCCACACCACAGCUCAUGGCAAUGCUGGAUCUCCAAUCCAGUGAGCGAAGCCAGGGAUCGAACCUGCAUCCCCAUGGAUACUAGUUGAAUUCAUUUCUGCUGGACCGCGACGGGAACUCCCACAUGCUGGGUUCUUUGAUAGACAAUCUGUAAGGAAAAGAGAAAGGUAGAGAGGAAACCUAUGCCGAGAAGAAAUGAAGACUUCUCAAAAAACUUUUUAAUUAAAAAAAAUUAUUGAUUUAUUUAUUUUUGGCCAUGCCUGAGGCACGUGGAAGGUCCUGGGCCAGGGAUUGAACCUUGCACCACAGCAGUGACAACAUCAGAUUCUUAACUGCUAGGCCACCAGGGAACUCUCAAAAUUUUUUUUAAAUGGACCAGACCAAGCUAUAGUGUUUAGGAUUUCAUAGUUGAGUGAUAAGACCAUAAAGAAACACAAAGAAGGGAGUAUCACUGAAGUCACAAUAGUGAUUACUUUUUUUAAAGGGAGACAGGUAGUGGCUAUCAUGGGACAUUUGAUGGAAAUUUCUAAGCUGCAAGGUUCUAUUUUUUUGAUCUGGGUGGUAGUUAUAAUAAUUCAUUGAAGAGUACAUUUAUUUUGAAUAGUUUUUCUGCAUUUGUAUUCUAUUUUACUUUGCAAAAGAAAG
rnacentral:lncRNA from 1 species